rnacentral:rRNA from 1 species
AUUGAACGCUGGCGGCAUGCUUUACACAUGCAAGUCGAACGGCAGCACGGACUUCGGUCUGGUGGCGAGUGGUGAACGGGUGAGUAAUACAUCGGAACGUGCCCAGUUGUGGGGGAUAACUACUCGAAAGAGUAGCUAAUACCGCAUGAGAACUGAGGUUGAAAGCAGGGGAUCGUAAGACCUUGCGCAACUGGAGCGGCCGAUGGCAGAUUAGGUAGUUGGUGGGAUAAAAGCUUACCAAGCCGACGAUCUGUAGCUGGUCUGAGAGGACGACCAGCCACACUGGGACUGAGACACGGCCCAGACUCCUACGGGAGGCAGCAGUGGGGAAUUUUGGACAAUGGGCGGAAGCCUGAUCCAGCAAUGUCGCGUGCAGGAUGAAGGCCUUCGGGUUGUAAACUGCUUUUGUACGGAACGAAAAGCUUCGGGUUAAUACCCUGGAGUCAUGACGGUACCGUAAGAAUAAGCACCGGCUAACUACGUGCCAGCCGCCGCCGUAACAC